UUAAGGCCAUCAUUAUUUUGCCCUUUUGCCCUGCAGAUUGAUCAUAGUAAUAGUGUAAUAAUACGAAGCAAAGACACUAUGCGAUGGCACUAUUGUACCAUAUUAUCACACUAUCAUCCUUUCCACUUACGGGCAAGUUACUAAAUGUCAAUGUUAAUAUCAUAUUUUCACAAUAUAAUUAUAGUAGUAUCACAUUAUCUACCUUUAAACCUAAAGGCAAUAUUACCAGUACUGCCAUACCAAUAUACAGGGUGAAGAGGCUACUCAACAAUGACUCUUAACAGUACACCAUAGAAAACAGCUAUUUCUUCUGUAUUCUUGUAAGUGUAAGACAAUCUUUCAACAGUUACUUCUAAUCUGAGUAGCAAUGUUUUGGAAUCGAAAAACAAAACACGGCUUUAAAAUGAAAUUCAUUGUAAAUCUACAUCUAGAGAUAUCAUUAUCUUAAAGACCUGCUCCAGUCCUACCUUUUCACCUUAUACUGUCACUGAAAAAGCAUGAAAAUCCUGACUUUGAACAGUGACGCCUGUCAAAAUAGUCUAUUUUAUAUAAAAUUCUAUAUAAAAUACCUGUAGUUUUGAUUGCUAAAGUGUGGCGUGUGGCCGUUAACUGUUACCUAUUGUAACAAUGAGUUGCAAACACACAGUAGAAUUUGAAUAGCCGCAGAGCAGGGCUUUAAAGUAUACCAUACAGUAAAAUCCUUAUCAAAUGACAAUGACCCACAAACACAGUUCUAGUUCAGCAAAGUUAUAUUCCUUCAAAAAUAAUGAUGUUUAAAAACAAGCAUUUUACCUGUCUAACAUUUAUCUACGUUUGUUCAUUAUUUGGAGGAAUUUCAGGUUUUUAUAAGAAUGAAACGAAGAAGGAACUAUUGAAAGAUGUUACAAAUAUCAGAGCAAGAUUUCUUGUUUUUGUUAGUGCACAGCUGAAUAACUGCAACUGCCACUGCAGCCUCACCAUAUCUAAAACCAGGGCAAAAUUUUUCCACAGCUCCUGUACUGAAUGUUAGUACAUGCGACCAUGGUCCACUCAUGUAUAAAAUACAGGCAAACACAAAGAGCAACAUAAUGACUGUAACAGUUACAUUUGGAACCAGUCUAUAUUUUGGACCACCACCAAGCUGCAUCUUCCACUGGAAGGGAGGCUAUCAGAAUCCAACAGCAAAACAUAUGGAGUUGUCCCCCUUGCCUGGAUGCCAUGUUCAAGUCACAGACAAGGAAAGCAACAAAACAUACUUAAUUUUUCAACUGCUUAUGUGGCAAUGGUUUUAAUAACCAGCAACAAUAUAGUUAAUUAGGAGAAGAAGCAAGAGCAUCUCCUAAAAAUGUUCAAAUUCUCAAAGCAGAUACUAGAGCUGUUUUCAUAAUGAUUCAGAAUAAAAAUUAAGAACUAUAAUUAUGAACAUGUUACAACUUCAACAUCCUGAAAAAGAAUGUAUUAGCAAGAAGCAAGGAAAAAAGCAGGCAAACUGAUUAGUUUGGGUUAAAAGAACAGAAACAUUUCUUUACUGUCUUUAAAACAAGA
rnacentral:lncRNA from 1 species